rnacentral:rRNA from 1 species
CAAUAGCGUAUAUUAAAGUUGUUGCAGUUAAAAAGCUCGUAGUUGGAUUUGUAGCGUACGGUGUGUUCCGGGCACUUGUUGUCUGAGUAACCUGCUGUUGCCAUCCUUGGGUGGAACCUGUGUGGCAUUAGGUUGUCGUGCAGGGGAUGCCCAUCAUUUACUGUGAAAAAAUUAGAGUGUUCAAAGCAGGCUUAUGCCGUUGAAUAUAUUAGCAUGGAAUAAUGAGAUAGGACUUUUUUGCUAUUUUGUUGGUUUGCGCAAAGAGGUAAUGAUUAAUAGGGACAGUUGGGGGUAUUCGUAUUCCAUUGUCAGAGGUGAAAUUCUUGGAUUUUUGGAAGACGAACUACUGCGAAAGCAUUUACCAAGGAUGUUUUCAUUAA